rnacentral:rRNA from 1 species
AGUGAACGCUGGCGGUAGGCCUAACACAUGCAAGUCGAACGGCAGUACAGUAAGAGCUUGCUCUUACGGUUGGCGAGUGGCGGACGGGUGAGGCAUACAUCGGAAUCUACUUUUUCUUGGGGGAUAACGUAGGGCCACUUAUGCUAACACCGCAUACGAUCUACGGGUGAAAGCAGGGGAUCUUCGGACCUUGCCCGACUCAUUGAGCCGGUGUCGGAUUAGCUAGUCGGUGUGGUAAAGGCCCACCAAGGCGACGAUGCGUAGCUGGUCUGAGAGGAUGAUCGGCCACACUGGAACUGAGACACGGUCCAGACUCCUACGGGAGGCAGCAGUGGGGAAUAUUCGACAAUGGGCGCAAGCCUGAUCCAGCCAUACUGCGUGAGUGAAGAAGGCCUUCGGAUUGUAAAGCCCUUUUAUUGGGAAAGAAAAGCUGCAGAUUAAUACCCCGCUGUUCUGACGGUACCCAAAGAAUAAGCACCGGCUAACUUCGUG